rnacentral:rRNA from 1 species
AUUGAACGCUGGCGGCAUGCUUUACACAUGCAAGUCGAACGGCAGCGCGGGCUUCGGCCUGGCGGCGAGUGGCGAACGGGUGAGUAAUGCAUCGGAACGUGCCCAGUAGUGGGGGAUAGCCCGGCGAAAGCCGGAUUAAUACCGCAUACGACCUGAGGGUGAAAGCGGGGGACCGAAAGGCCUCGCGCUAUUGGAGCGGCCGAUGUCGGAUUAGCUAGUUGGUGGGGUAAAGGCUUACCAAGGCGACGAUCCGUAGCUGGUCUGAGAGGACGACCAGCCAGACGGGGAGUGUGACGCGGACGAGACGCCUCCGUGAGCCAGCAGUGGGGAGUGGUGGACGAUGGGGGCAAGACUGAACCAGGCAUUCCGCGGGCAGGAAGCAGGCCUUCGGGUUGUAAGGCGGUUUUGUUGGGGAAGAAAGACUAUGGACGAAUAACCCGGGGGCAUGACGGUACCGGAAGAAUAGGCACCGGCUCACUACGUG